rnacentral:misc_RNA from 1 species
GCAGUCCCUCGGGGACCACUUCCUUGCCGAUGCCGUCGCCGGGAAUCACGGCCAGUCUGUACUUCCUGUUGGUCCCGGUGCUGGUGGUCGGCAUUAAAUGUUUCCCCACAUGGUUUUGAGCGCGGUCGAUCCUGCGUCGCCGGGCNUUCUUUGGCGUCCGGACGAACGCGCCAUAGCCAUACAGGAGAGUGCGCGACGGCCAAAAUGCACAAUCGCAACUGGCGGGGAUGUCGAGAAAGCCGCUUGAACAGCGCAAAACAUACGGCGCG